UACGAAGGGGGCUAGCGUUGCUCGGAAUUACUGGGCGUAAAGCGCGCGUAGGCGGCUUUGCAAGUCGGGUGUGGAAUCCCCAGGCUUAACCUGGGAACUGCAUUCGAGACUGCAUUGCUAGAGUAUGGGAGAGGGAAGUGGAAUUUCCGGUGUAGCGGUGAAAUGCGUAGAUAUCGGAAGGAACAUCAGUGGCGAAAGCGACUUCCUGGACCAAUACUGACGCUCAUGUGCGAAAGCGUGGGGAGCAAACAGG
rnacentral:rRNA from 1 species